rnacentral:rRNA from 1 species
CGGACGGGUGAGUAACACGUGAGCAACCUGGCUCUAAGAGGGGGACAACAAUUGGAAACGACUGCUAAUACCGCAUAACGUAUCGGGAUGGCAUCUUCCUGAUACCAAAGAUUUUAUCGCUUAGAGAUGGGCUCGCGUCUGAUUAGAUAGUUGGCGGGGUAACGGCCCACCAAGUCGACGAUCAGUAGCCGGACUGAGAGGUUGAACGGCCACAUUGGGACUGAGACACGGCCCAGACUCCUACGGGAGGCAGCAUG